UACGGAGGAUCCAAGCGUUAUCCGGAAUUACUGGGCGUAAAGAGUUGCGUAGGUGGCAUAGUAAGUAGAUAGUGAAAUCGUGUGGCUCAACCAUGCUCACAUUAUCUAAACUGCUAAGCUUGAGUAUAUGAGAGGUAGCUGGAAUUCCUAGUGUAGGAGUGAAAUCCGUAGAUAUUAGGAGGAACACCGAUGGCGUAGGCAGGCUACUGGCAUAUUACUGACACUAAGGCACGAAAGCGUGGGGAGCGAACUGG
rnacentral:rRNA from 1 species